GGGGAAUAUUGGACAAUGGGCGGAAGCCUGAUCCAGCAACGCCGCGUGAGGGAUGACGGCCUUCGGGUUGUAAACCUCUUUCAGUACCGACGAAGCGCCGAUGAUGGUGGUGACGGUAGGUACAGAAGAAGCACCGGCCAACUACGUGCCAGCAGCCGCGGUAAUACGUAGGGUGCGAGCGUUGUCCGGAAUUAUUGGGCGUAAAGGGCUCGUAGGCGGUUUGUCGCGUCGGGAGUGAAAACACUGGGCUUAACUCAGUGCUGGCUUUCGAUACGGGCAGACUAGAGGUAUGCAGGGGAGAACGGAAUUCCUGGUGUAGCGGUGAAAUGCGCAGAUAUCAGGAGGAACACCGGUGGCGAAGGCGGUUCUCUGGGCAUUACCUGACGCUGAGGAGCGAAAGUGUGGGGAGCGAAC
rnacentral:rRNA from 1 species